rnacentral:rRNA from 1 species
UACGAGUGCCCCAAGCGUUAUCCGGAAUCAUUGGGCGUAAAGGGUGUGUAGGUGGUUGUAUUAGUCUUCUGUUAAAUUCUUCGGCUUAACCGGGGGCAUGCAGGGGAAACGGUACAACUAGAGGAUGCGAGGGGUGAACGGAACUCAUAGUGUAGGGGUGAAAUCCGUUGAUAUUAUGGGGAACACCAAAAGCGAAGGCAGUUCACUGGCGCAUUCCUGACACUGAAACACGAAAGCGUGGGUAGCGAAUGGG